UUGACCACGCGUGGGUCCCGCGGGCCCCACUAGUCAGCCGCACGGCGUUGAUCCCGCCCGGUCCAGCAUGGAAAAGUGACGGGCCCCACCCGCAUGGGACCCGCACGUCAGCGUCACACGCCCCGGUCCCGCCUCGGCCGACUGGAUUAAGUGGAGGCGUACUCGGUCGAGUACGUUUUCAUCUUCGGGAAAGCGCAUUUUCCCUCUACUUCAGCUCAAAGGACUUGUUUGUGAUGAUAUUUUUGCAGAAAAGUCCCUGAACUUCAACCCUUCAUAUCUUUUUAACCACAACUCCAAAUGAGCCCCUCCGAGAGAGAACUGUUUCCGGCAAAUCUUUCCGCGGCUUCGCCGCACUUCUUCCCGGAGUAUUCUUCAUCCCC